UAUAUAUUAGUUUAAUAAAAAAUUUAUUCCUUCUAAGUAUAAGAUUUCAAUGUUGAAAUAUAUAA
rnacentral:tRNA from 2 species